UACGUAGGUGGCAAGCGUUGUCCGGAAUUAUUGGGCGUAAAGCGCGCGCAGGCGGUCCUUUAAGUCUGAUGUGAAAGCCCACGGCUCAACCGUGGAGGGUCAUUGGAAACUGGGGGACUUGAGUGCAGAAGAGGAAAGCGGAAUUCCACGUGUAGCGGUGAAAUGCGUAGAGAUGUGGAGGAACACCAGCGGCGAAGGCGGCUUUCUGGUCUGUAACUGACGCUGAGGCGCGAAAGCGUGGGGAGCAAACAGG
rnacentral:rRNA from 1 species